GAUGAAGAACGUAGCGAAAUGCGAUAAGUAAUGUGAAUUGCAGAAUUCAGUGAAUCAUCGAAUCUUUGAACGCACCUUGCACUCCUUGGUAUUCCGAGGAGUACGCCUGUUCGAGUGUUAUGAAGCUCUCAAAACGCAAUUGGCUUAAAACCUGAUUGUUGUUUUGGAUUUGAACUUUGCCGUGUUAUAACGGCUGGUUUUAAAAGUAUUAGCUGGUACUAGAACGAAUUGGUUCUACUCAACGUGAUAAUUAUCUGAUCGUUGAGGACAUUCCUGUCACGAGGAAUGGCCAUAGUAAAUUCAAUGGACUGCUUCUAAUCUGGCUUUAAUUCUUUAUUGGAUUAACCACUUUUCAAAUCUGACCUCGAAUCAGGUGGGACUACCCGCUGAACUUAAGCAUAUCAAUAAGCGGAGGA
rnacentral:misc_RNA from 1 species